rnacentral:rRNA from 1 species
CCUACGGGAGACAGCAGUGGGGAAUAUUGGGCAAUGGGCGCAAGCCUGACCCAGCAACGCCGCGUGAAGGAAGAAGGCUUUCGGGUUGUAAACUUCUUUUAAGAGGGAAGAGCAGAAGACUGUACCUCUUGACUAAGCCACGGCUAACUACGUGCCAGCAGCCGCGGUAAUACGUAGGUGGCAAGCGUGUCCGGCUUGACUGGGUGGAAAGGGCGUGCAGCCGGGGAGACAAGUCAGUGGGGAAAUCCCGCGGCUAAAACGCGGAACUGCAUUUGAAACUGUUUUUCUUGAGUACCGGAGAGGUCAUCGGAAUUCCUUGUGUAGCGGUGAAAUGCGUAGAUAUAAGGAAGAACACCAGUGGCGAAGGCGGAUGACUGGACGGCAACUGACGGUGAGGCGCGAAAGCGUGGGGAGCAAACAGGAUUAGAUACCCCAGUAGUC